GUGAGCAGUUGGUAUAGGUAACUGUGUGCCCGGAGACCAGUGCUGCUAGUUGUUGCCCACCCUCAUCAUCGCUGAGCUAGCGCCGACGUCACUACAGAGUAUCGAAGCCGUUCCCUUGUGGGCCGGUGCAGCAGCUUUUCUACAUACAGCAGACUAACUACGAUAGUGAUGGCUUCAGCCGUUGUGAGUUUGGUCCCCACCACUGCUUCCCGUUUCGCUCUUCUGAAGGUAGACAGCAGCAGUGACUCUGAUUCUGAGAAAACAAGAGCAACGCGUGGUGCAGGGAAAUUACGUGGAUCAGCUGCAAGUGGGAAAAACAAUACAAAUGAGAAAAAGAGGGAAAAAAGGAGGAAAAAGAAAGAACAGCAACAAAGUGAGGCUAAUGAGCUCAGAAAUCUUGCUUUUAAGAAGAUCCCCCAGAAAUCCUCACAUGGCAGUGGUGGGCCUCAGCAGGACUCUGUUCCACAGCCUAAAGGUGCUCAUGAAGAAGACUGGCAACAGUGGCGUCAGAGAGAUGAGCAGCUUACAUCUGAUCUAUAUGAAGCAGACCUUGAAAAGGCCUUAAUGCUGAGUAAACUAGAAUAUGAGGAACAGAAAAAGGAAAUUGACAGUGGAGGAAAUGGCUCGCCUCAGUCAAAAAGAGUCAAUAAAAAGGAUAAACGAAAGAAUCACCAAGGAAAGGACAAGCCUCUCACAGUGUCCUUAAAAGACUUCCAGUCAGAAGAACAGCCUACUAGGAAACCAGAGGAUGCGAAAUCCCCUCCGAUGUUACCACAUGACCGUGGUUUUUUCAAUAAACUUGAAGAUGAUGUGACCAAAAUAAUUUUUAAAGAAAAGAGAAAAGAACAUACCCCAUUUCCUGAUGUAAUGGAAAGUUUGGCAUCAUCUGAUCAGAGUUUGGAACCUGUCCUGAAAGAUGGCAGAACAGAGUUACUAAAGCUGGAAAUAGAGAAGAAAGACACAGAGAUGCAACAUCUCAAAAGUAUAAUUUCUCAGUGGGAGGCAAAAUACAAAGAAGUGAAAGCAAGAAAUGCUCAAGUUCUUAAAAUGCUGCAAGAAGGUGAAAUGAAAGACAAAGCAGAAAUCCUUCUGCAAGUGGAUGAAUUGCUGACCAUUAAGAAUGAGUUAACCGUACAGGUCACUGCUCUACAUGCUGCUUUAGAGCAAGAGCGAUCAAAAGUCAAGGUUCUUCAAGCUGAGCUGGUGAAAUACCAGCAACAGCCUGGCCUUGAAACACUUUUCCCAAGUUCUGUGCUUCUUUUGGUUCUGGUUUCUGAUUGGUCUACCAGUUCACGCAUCCUCCUCUGCCAAUAUAAAGUGACCAACUAAAUAGAUUUGUGGUGCUGUACUACAGAACUGCAUAUGAGGUUUCGGUUGGAGGAAUGACCAAUUUAGAUCAAUUGAUGUGGUAGAGCAGCUUUAAGCCUGUUUACCACAUCAUAUCAAUUCUGCUAGCUCAAAGUAGAGCUUGAGGGUGGUAAAAAGGGAAAAAGGAAUUCUGAAUCUGACCAUGGGCGAUGAUCAUGCGUUUUCCACAUAGCUGAAGGAGAAUGGAUUAUUUUCUAAAAAGCACUAACUUUUCUGCAGAGUUUAAAUACUGCUGUACAAUGCCAUACAUUGUUAGUUUUUCAUGACUAAAUAAAACUUAUAUUUCCAUUUG